UGGUAGCGACCAAAUCAAGAAACCAUUGACAUAUAUUGUCCUAUCAUCCUUAAGUAGAAAAUUUUAAAUUAUUUAAAUUUAAUCGAAUCAAACUAAUUAAAUAGUAUAUAUAUAUAUUUAUAUUAAUUAUUUUUUUAAAUUAUAUAUUAGUAAUAUAUUAUAUUUACGAGAUAAUUGAUUCGUUCUAAUUAAACUUGAGUUGAAUUAAAAAAUUUCUAUUUUGCAUAUUCAAAGAAAAAAGGAAGUAGAAAAAACCCACUUGGAAUUAGGUGGAGGAGUCUAUAAAGUUUGCUAAAAUUCUUGGUUCAACUUUGGAAAUGGGGGACAGGUAUGAGUGGUAAGAAAUUCAGUACCUUCGAAAUGGCUAACGGCCCGUCUGACUUUCUUGGCACAGCCUUCGCAAUGCAAGUCCAGCUUCAAAACAACGGUGGUUGGCCCCUCAUCUUUCUUCCCUCCGACUUCCGCCGCCUUCUUCUCUCCGCCCUCCGCAGCCGCCUUCUUCCCUCCGUCA